CUACGGGAGGCAGCAGUGGGGAAUAUUGCACAACGGGCGAAAGCCUGAUGCAGCGACGCCGCGUGCGGGAUGACGGCCUUCGGGUUGUAAACCGCUUUCAGCAGGGAAGAAGCGCAAGUGACGGUACCUGCAGAAGAAGCACCGGCUAACUACGUGCCAGCAGCCGCGGUAAUACGUAGGGUGCGAGCGUUGUCCGGAAUUAUUGGGCGUAAAGAGCUUGUAGGUGGUUUGUCGCGUCUGCUGUGAAAAUCCGGGGCUCAACCCCGGACUUGCAGUGGGUACGGGCAGACUAGAGUGUGGUAGGGGAGACUGGAAUUCCUGGUGUAGCGGUGGAAUGCGCAGAUAUCAGGGGGAACACCGAUGGCGAAGGCAGGUCUCUGGGCCAUUACUGACACUGAGAAGCGAAAGCAUGGGGAGCGAACAGGAUUAGAUACCCGGGUAGUCC
rnacentral:rRNA from 1 species